rnacentral:rRNA from 1 species
AGUAACGGCGAGUGAAGCGGCAACAGCUCAAAUUUGAAAUCUGGCCUCUUUGGGGUCCGAGUUGUAAUUUGUAGAGGAUGUUUCGGGUACCGCCUCGGUUUAAAUUUCUUGGAACAGAAUGUCAAAGAGGGUGAGAAUCCCGUCUUGGACCGGCGGUAGGGCCCAUGUGAAACUCCUUCGACGAGUCGAGUUGUUU